UGGCUCAGUUGGUAGAGCAUGGUGUUUGCAAUGCCAGGGUUGUGGGUUUGAUUUCCAC
rnacentral:tRNA from 1 species